CCCUAUCUCUCUUUCUCUCGCUCGGUCGCUCGCUUUUUCUUGUUCUUCUUCAAACCAUCGAUUACUCGUCCUCUUCAACUCGCUUUUCGCUUCGCCGUUGCUCCCGUUGGUGGCGUUCCGAUGCGGUCUACGAUGCCGUCAUCUUACAUCGAUCAGAACUCCUCGCCGAUAUUAUUGCUUUGAGGGGUUGGGAAAUCAGAAGGGGUUUGAUGGCCAAACUCAUGCCAGAUGGGGGAGACAACCACCUGGAUUCGCACUCCUCAACUCGCCGUCUAAUGCUGGUCCAGACUCCGUAUUGGCUAGAUGGGAUGCUGUUCUAAGUUGAGGAGAACAAGAGAAGAAUAGAGAGCCAUCCUUGUAAAUGCUACCGGGUUCUAAGAACUGACCUUUGUCGACUCUUAGGAAAAUAUUAAAGACGAUGCAAAUUAAACGACAGAAAAAGUCAACGGGC